rnacentral:rRNA from 1 species
ACGGCUCAGUAACACGUGGACAACCCUACCCUACAGAAGGGGAUAACCCCGGGAAACUGGGGAUAAUACCCUAUAGACUAUGGAUGCUGGAAUGCUCUGUAGCCGAAAGGUCCGCCGCUGUAGGAUGGGUCUGCGGCCGAUUAGGUUGUUGUUGGGGUAACGGCCCAACAAGCCUGUAAUCGGUACGGGUUGUGGGAGCAAGAGCCCGGAGAUGGAUUCUGAGACACGAAUCCAGGCCCUACGGGGCGCAGCAGGCGCGAAAACUUUGCAAUGCGGGAAACCGUGACAAGGGAACUCUGAGUGCCCGUAAAAUCGGGCUGUCCAUCGGUUUAAAUAACCGGUGAAGAAAGGGCCGGGCAAGACCGGUGCCAGCCGCCGCGGUAAUACCGGCGGCUCGAGUGGUGGCCACUGUUACUGGGCUUAAAGCGUUCGUAGCUGGUUUGUUAAGUCUCUGGGGAAAUCUUCCGGCUUAACCGGAAGGCGUCUCAGGGAUACUGGCAGACUAGGGACCGGGAGAGGUGAGAGGUACUCCAGGGGUAGGAGUGAAAUCCUGUAAUCCUUGGGGGACCACCUGUGGCGAAGGCGUCUCACCAGAACGGCUCCGACAGUGAGGGACGAAAGCUGGGGGAGCAAACCGGAUUAGAUACCCGGGUAGUCCCAGCUGUAAACGAUGCGCGUUAGGUGUAUCGGGUGACCACGAGUCACCGAGGUGCCGAAGAGAAAUCGUGAAACGUGCCGCCUGGGAAGUACGGUCGCAAGGCUGAAACUUAAAGGAAUUGGCGGGGGAG